rnacentral:misc_RNA from 1 species
AAGUCGUAACAAGGUUUCCGUAGGUGAACCUGCGGAAGGAUCAUUAACACGUAUCCAACGUUAAACAACCCUGUGAACCUUGAACGUGCUCCUGCGGCCCCAUGAAAUCAGCAAUCCCUGGUAAAUCAUUGUUGACCAGCUUGCCGAUAAUACGGACGCCGUAAAAAACUGAACAACUGUUAACAAUGGAUAUCUUGGUUCUC